rnacentral:rRNA from 1 species
AGCGUACACGGUGGAUGCCCUGGCAGUCAGAGGCGAUGAAGGACGUGCUAAUCUGCGAUAAGCGUCGGUAAGGUGAUAUGAACCGUUAUAACCGGCGAUUUCCGAAUGGGGAAACCCAGUGUGUUUCGACACACUAUCAUUAACUGAAUCCAUAGGUUAAUGAGGCGAACCGGGGGAACUGAAACAUCUAAGUACCCCGAGGAAAAGAAAUCAACCGAGAUUCCCCCAGUAGCGGCGAGCGAACGGGGAGCAGCCCAGAGCCUGAAUCAGUGUGUGUGUUAGUGGAAGCGUCUGGAAAGGCGCGCGAUACAGGGUGACAGCCCCGUACACAAAAAUGCACAUAUUGUGAGCUCGAUGAGUAGGGCGGGACACGUGGUAUCCUGUCUGAAUAUGGGGGGACCAUCCUCCAAGGCUAAAUACUCCUGACUGACCGAUAGUGAACCAGUACCGUGAGGGAAAGGCGAAAAGAACCCCGGCGAGGGGAGUGAAAAAGAACCUGAAACCGUGUACGUACAAGCAGUGGGAGCACGCUUAGGCGUGUGACUGCGUACCUUUUGUAUAAUGGGUCAGCGACUUAUAUUCUGUAGCAAGGUUAACCGAAUAGGGGAGCCGAAGGGAAACCGAGUCUUAACUGGGCGUUAAGUUGCAGGGUAUAGACCCGAAACCCGGUGAUCUAGCCAUGGGCAGGUUGAAGGUUGGGUAACACUAACUGGAGGACCGAACCGACUAAUGUUGAAAAAUUAGCGGAUGACUUGUGGCUGGGGGUGAAAGGCCAAUCAAACCGGGAGAUAGCUGGUUCUCCCCGAAAGCUAUUUAGGUAGCGCCUCGUGAAUUCAUCUCCGGGGGUAGAGCACUGUUUCGGCAAGGGGGUCAUCCCGACUUACCAACCCGAUGCAAACUGCGAAUACCGGAGAAUGUUAUCACGGGAGACACACGGCGGGUGCUAACGUCCGUCGUGAAGAGGGAAACAACCCAGACCGCCAGCUAAGGUCCCAAAGUCAUGGUUAAGUGGGAAACGAUGUGGGAAGGCCCAGACAGCCAGGAUGUUGGCUUAGAAGCAGCCAUCAUUUAAAGAAAGCGUAAUAGCUCACUGGUCGAGUCGGCCUGCGCGGAAGAUGUAACGGGGCUAAACCAUGCACCGAAGCUGCGGCAGCGACGCUUAUGCGUUGUUGGGUAGGGGAGCGUUCUGUAAGCCUGCGAAGGUGUGCUGUGAGGCAUGCUGGAGGUAUCAGAAGUGCGAAUGCUGACAUAAGUAACGAUAAAGCGGGUGAAAAGCCCGCUCGCCGGAAGACCAAGGGUUCCUGUCCAACGUUAAUCGGGGCAGGGUGAGUCGACCCCUAAGGCGAGGCCGAAAGGCGUAGUCGAUGGGAAACAGGUUAAUAUUCCUGUACUUGGUGUUACUGCGAAGGGGGGACGGAGAAGGCUAUGUUGGCCGGGCGACGGUUGUCCCGGUUUAAGCGUGUAGGCUGGUUUUCCAGGCAAAUCCGGAAAAUCAAGGCUGAGGCGUGAUGACGAGGCACUACGGUGCUGAAGCAACAAAUGCCCUGCUUCCAGGAAAAGCCUCUAAGCAUCAGGUAACAUCAAAUCGUACCCCAAACCGACACAGGUGGUCAGGUAGAGAAUACCAAGGCGCUUGAGAGAACUCGGGUGAAGGAACUAGGCAAAAUGGUGCCGUAACUUCGGGAGAAGGCACGCUGAUAUGUAGGUGAAGUCCCUCGCGGAUGGAGCUGAAAUCAGUCGAAGAUACCAGCUGGCUGCAACUGUUUAUUAAAAACACAGCACUGUGCAAACACGAAAGUGGACGUAUACGGUGUGACGCCUGCCCGGUGCCGGAAGGUUAAUUGAUGGGGUCAGCGCAAGCGAAGCUCUUGAUCGAAGCCCCGGUAAACGGCGGCCGUAACUAUAACGGUCCUAAGGUAGCGAAAUUCCUUGUCGGGUAAGUUCCGACCUGCACGAAUGGCGUAAUGAUGGCCAGGCUGUCUCCACCCGAGACUCAGUGAAAUUGAACUCGCUGUGAAGAUGCAGUGUACCCGCGGCAAGACGGAAAGACCCCGUGAACCUUUACUAUAGCUUGACACUGAACAUUGAGCCUUGAUGUGUAGGAUAGGUGGGAGGCUUGGAAGUGUGGACGCCAGUCUGCAUGGAGCCGACCUUGAAAUACCACCCUUUAAUGUUUGAUGUUCUAACGUUGACCCGUGAUCCGGGUUGCGGACAGUGUCUGGUGGGUAGUUUGACUGGGGCGGUCUCCUCCUAAAGAGUAACGGAGGAGCACGAAGGUUGGCUAAUCCUGGUCGGACAUCAGGAGGUUAGUGCAAUGGCAUAAGCCAGCUUGACUGCGAGCGUGACGGCGCGAGCAGGUGCGAAAGCAGGUCAUAGUGAUCCGGUGGUUCUGAAUGGAAGGGCCAUCGCUCAACGGAUAAAAGGUACUCCGGGGAUAACAGGCUGAUACCGCCCAAGAGUUCAUAUCGACGGCGGUGUUUGGCACCUCGAUGUCGGCUCAUCACAUCCUGGGGCUGAAGUAGGUCCCAAGGGUAUGGCUGUUCGCCAUUUAAAGUGGUACGCGAGCUGGGUUUAGAACGUCGUGAGACAGUUCGGUCCCUAUCUGCCGUGGGCGCUGGAGAACUGAGGGGGGCUGCUCCUAGUACGAGAGGACCGGAGUGGACGCAUCACUGGUGUUCGGGUUGUCAUGCCAAUGGCACUGCCCGGUAGCUAAAUGCGGAAGAGAUAAGUGCUGAAAGCAUCUAAGCACGAAACUUGCCCCGAGAUGAGUUCUCCCUGACUCCUUGA